UGCCAGCCGCCGCGGUAAUACGGAGGGGGCUAGCGUUAUUCGGAAUUAUUGGGCGUAAAGGGUGCGUAGGCGGUUUAUUAUGUUAAAAGUAAAAUCCCAAAGCUUAACUUUGGAACAUCUUUUAAAACUAAUAGACUUGAGAUCGAUAGGAGAUAGUGGAAUUUCUAGUGUAGAGAUAGAAUUCAUAAAUAUUAGAAGGAACACCAGUGGCGAAGGCGACUAUCUAAAUCGAUACUGACGCUGAGGUACGAAAGCGUGGGGAGCAAACGGGAUUAGAUA
rnacentral:rRNA from 1 species